rnacentral:tRNA from 1 species
GAGGGGAUAGCUCAGUGGUAGAGGACGUGCCUAGCGUGCAUGAGGUCUUUGGUUCAAUGCCCAGUACCUUCA